AGAACGAACGCUGGCGGCAUGCCUAAUACAUGCAAGUCGAACGAAGGCUUCGGCCUUAGUGGCGCACGGGUGCGUAACGCGUGGGAAUCUGCCCCUUGGUUCGGAAUAACAGUUGGAAACGACUGCUAAUACCGGAUGAUGACGAAAGUCCAAAGAUUUAUCGCCAAGGGAUGAGCCCGCGUAGGAUUAGCUAGUUGGUGAGGUAAAGGCUCACCAAGGCGACGAUCCUUAGCUGGUCUGAGAGGAUGAUCAGCCACACGUGGGACUGAGACACGGCCCAGACUCCUACGGGAGCAGCAGUA
rnacentral:rRNA from 1 species